rnacentral:rRNA from 1 species
UACGAAGGGGGCUAGCGUUGCUCGGAAUCACUGGGCGUAAAGGGCGCGUAGGCGGCCAUUCAAGUCAGAGGUGAAAGCCCAAGGCUCAACCUUGGAACUGCCUUUGAUACUGUUUGGCUUGAGACCGGUAGAGGUAAGUGGAACUGCGAGUGUAGAGGUGAAAUUCGUAGAUAUUCGCAAGAACACCAGUGGCGAAGGCGGCUUACUGGUCCGGUUCUGACGCUGAGGCGCGAAAGCGUGGGGAGCAAACAGGG